GCCGGUUGUUGUAAUGGAAGCAAAGGAGCUUUUGAAGCUUUGGGAAUGGGUUCGAUUCCCAUACCGGCUA
rnacentral:tRNA from 1 species